rnacentral:lncRNA from 1 species
GACUACUGCUUUGUUCCACUUAUACUUGUAUAUGACUCUUCGUUGACAUGUCAAAAUAAGCGCUGUACUGUUAUAUUGUUUGAGAAUUAAAAAAGUACAGUCCAGGCACCUUUUCUGCCAGGUGAGAUCGAGCUGGGCGUCUGAUAUGUCCUAACAUGUCCUAGAACUGUCUUUAUGUUGGUCGGAAAUCAAACAUCUUCCUACUGCUGAUACUGCAGCUUGCUGCAACUUGUGAUUGCGUGUUCAUUUCACACUCUUUCACAGUUAAUAACAUAAUUUAAUAAUAGGCCCCGCCCCCGACUGUACCGCCACCUUUAGUAACCAGCAGCUGGGUGGUCCCAUUAGUCACAUACUCAAGUUAUUGGAGAAAUGAGAAACACAGUCACUACAUUAUGAACACGUAUGAAUUCAGUCAUCUCCAUUUUCUGAACACUUUUUUUACAUUUAAUGAAACAGUUCAUGAACAACCCCUAACUUUUAUAAAGUGUCCUGUAUUUAAAGAACCAAGAUUCAUAAACGAACUUUUAUUUAGAACAUUUAAAUACAAAACCGAGUGUUACAUUCAAACCAGGACAGAUUCAAAAAUCAGAAAGUGAGUUGUCAUUUGUCCCUCUGCUGUGGUCUCUCUGUUGUUAAUGAAGACGUAUUAAUGACAUCAUCGAUAAAGAGAAUAAAACAGCAGCUUGGUGCUGAGAAACGCCCCCUGUCAGUGUUUCCUGUCCAGCAGGGAGGAGACUUUCUGCGCCUCCUUCAGCAGAGUAACGGAUCUGAGAGCUGUCGGUGGUUCCUGUGUCGGUGGUCCGGUGAGGAUCAGCUGUAACGGGACUGUUUAAAGAUGCUGAUGUUUCUGCUCCUCGUUUUCGUUUCCCAGCAUGCCUCAGGGCUGGAAGUAGAGCAGGGGGUUGAGUCUGUCCUGCUGCCCUGUCAGGUACCAGUUAAUGUUUCCAUGAGCUCCACAGCAGCAGUGUGGGACCAAGAGGAACUGACGAGGCCAAUGGUUCACGGACGUGUGAAGAGUGGUGAUGAUCUUUCUCUUCAAAAUGAUCGUUACACCAACCGAACAUCAAUGAGAGCCGACGCUCUGCAGACUGGAGACCUCAGCCUUACUCUGAGGAACCCCACAGUCUCUGACAGUGGAACCUACACCUGCACCGCCCGCAAACAAGGACAAGAGCUGAGCCGGACUGAAGUACAGCUGAAGGUCACAGAAGCUCCUCCAGUCUGGCCCAAAGUCCUCUCAGGUGUCCUGGGUACUCUUCUUCUCCUGACUCUUCUCUGUGGUCUCUGUGUGUAUUUUGAACAUAAAAGGAUGAAGCAGAGUGAAGUUCCUCAAAGAGAGUUUGUGGAGGUGACACAGGGGGUGAAGUCUGUCCUGCUGCCCUUUAAAACUACACCUGACCUUUCUGAGGACGUCACAGUGGAGUGGACUCUCACUCAACCCAAACUCAUGACAGUCCACGUGUAUGAGAGUGGAAACAAUCAGCCACAUAAACAAGACCAGGGCUACAGAGGUCGCACAGAGAUGAAGGAAGAUCCACUGAGAACUGGAGACUUCAGUCUGACCCUGAAAGACUUCUACCUCACUGACAGUGGAGUCUACACCUGCACCGUCUACAACAAGGAUGGGAACGUGCUGCUACAGAAAUCAGUGACUCUCGCUGUCAGAGAUAACGAAGUGGGCGUGUUGGAGGUGACACAAGGGGAGAGGUCUGUGCUGCUGCCCUUUCAAACCACAGCUGACCUUCGUCAGGGCGUCACAGUGGAGUGGACACGCUCAGACUCCAAACACACCAAAGUCUGUAUGUUUCAGAAAAGCCAAAGCCAGGCAGACAAACAGCACCAGGGUUACAGAGGUCGCGCAGAGAUGGAUGAAGAUCCACUGAGAACUGGAGACCUCAGUCUGACCCUGAAAGACCUCCACCCUACUGACAGUGGAGUCUACACCUGCACCGUCUACAACAAGGAUGGACACAUGCUGCUACAGAGAGUAGUGACUCUCAGUGUCAGAGGUGAGUGA